GUAAUUUGUAUUCAAUCAUGUUGAUUUGUUUCCUUCUACACAUUGAAGGUUUUUAUAUGGAAACAAUAAUAUAAUAAAAAAAAUACAUUUACUGAAAAAAAAUAUGAUUUGUCCUUUUUCUAUUGUUUAGGCAUCAAAUUUUCGAAACCACGCUUAGGGGCUGGUGUAAAGAGGACACUUCUUUAAAACUCUAAUUCAGUUUUGGCACGCCGUUAGAAAAAAAUAUAACGAUCAAGUGGCCUCCUCUCUUCCAUUGAUGAAAAAAGAUAUCAAUUCGGAAGCGCGAGGUGAUGAAAUUUAUUGGUCGCAGUUCUAAAUGGUUGCAUCCGAAUAAAACUUUAACCCCUCCC
rnacentral:lncRNA from 1 species